rnacentral:tRNA from 1 species
UCCAGGGUAGCCUAGUGGACAUGGCAUCUGCAUCUGGGUUCGAUUCCCAUCCCUGGAC